UUUUGGGAGGCGGCAGAAAGGAAUAUUGCGCAAUGGGCGAAAGCCUGACGCAGCGACGCCGUGUGAAGGAUGAUGGCCUUGGGGUGGUAAACCCCUUUUCCCGAGGAAGAAAUAUGACGGUACUCGGGGAAUAAGUCAGGGCUAAAUACGUGCCAGCAGCCGCGGUAAUACGUAGAAGGCGAACGUUAUCCGGAUUUAUUGGGGGUAAAGAGGGGGUAGACGGUUUUUUAAGUCAGUUGUGAAAUAUCCCGGGUCAAUUCGGAGAAUGCAAGUGAUAAUGGAGAGCUUGAGGGCAUGAGAGGGAAGGGGAAUUCCCGGUGUAGCGGUGAAAUGCGUAGAUAUUGUGAGGAACACCAGUGGGGAAGGCGGCUUUCUUGGCUGCUCCUGACGCUGAGGCCCGAAAGCGUGGGGAGCGAAACGGAUUAGAUACCCCUGUAGUCCACACCCUAAACGAUGAAUACUAGGUAUAGGGGGUAUCGACCCUCUCUGUGCCGCAGCUAACGCGAUAAGUAUUC
rnacentral:rRNA from 1 species